CAACUGUUCCUUUUCCUUAUUCACCAACUCAAUUACAGAAUUAAAUUCAUAGCAAUAAACCCUUUUCAAGAUGUGAAAUUAAUUAAGACGAGAAUAAGGGACACGAACACGUAAAUCAGAUACAUACCAUAGAGCAAAGAGAUCUCCUUUUAUUUAGUAGGCACCGCUUUGAAACUCCCUAAAAGAUUCCAAACGCCGUUAACCUUAGGCAGAGGAAACACCGAGAAUGUAAGCAACCAAAGGAAUUACAUAAUCAGAUUGAAAAUAGCUCGAAGGGAAGACCAAAAGAGAACUCAACAAGGCCAAUAUCCAUUAGCAUAACCAAACCGUUCACAGGAAGCUUCAAAUCUCUCAAAACCAAAAAGCCUUGAGCUAUACGUAACUUAGGAACAUCAAGAGCCACAGAACAAAACGGAACACGAUACUCUUCACCACCCUUGUUUCUUCCUAAUCGUAGAUUCACAUAACUGAAGCUGAAGAAGCGAAAGAGACAGCUCGGCGAAAGAAACAGAGCAUUGUGGUCACUCGAAAAGCUUCCUAUUGAUGUGGGACUCUGAGAAUGUAAGCAUCAUUCACACUUCACAGUUCAUGGAAAAAAAAAGGAACUGGCCUCAGACUGUGUAUUGGUUUAUUUCACGAGUGGAUCAAAGAUCCUUUGAUGUCGUUUUAUGGGAUACAGCUUCAUCACCGGCCAGUUUUGAUCUUCCCUCAUCUGUUAUAAACCAGUCCAUAAAAAUUCGAGGGGACGACGUGGGAUAAAUCUGAGUGGUCGACGUGGGCCUGGGCUUUAUUUAAAUAAAUCUCUCUAUCUCUAUCCAGAUACAAUCACCGAGCUCGGCCCACUUGUCUGUAUGCGAGUCCACAACAUUGUCGGUUGAAGCCUUUCAUCGAAGUCGCUCAGAUCUGUUCUCUGGCGGUGCGGUGGUCGCCGGUCAAGGUGGAGCGGUCGUCCUGGAUCGCUCACUUUGCUCACUUUGUCGGCUCUGUGCUGUAGAGGACGGCGGCGAGAUCUACGGUGUCCAUAAACUUUGUCGUUGACUUUGCUCCUUCACGAUUUAAUCACGAGCCUUUGCUUUCUCUUUCGCAUAUUUAAUCAAAGCUAGAGGUCACAACUCUCACCGAUCACCAGUCACCGUCACGGCCGCCGUCUUCAACCACCACAUCCUAACCGGUGAAUUUUCUGGUGUAACUCUCAGCCCUCAUCUCUGGCGAGCAUCUCUUUAUUCACCAUCAAUUCAUCUGAGACUUCAUUCAAGUCUCCCUCUUCGACAACGAGAGAUAUUGCAAUGUCACAGUAUAUGAUUUUUGAAUUAGAGAAGAAAGGAGAAAACAAGAAAGGAGAUGUCUGAUUCAAGAAAACGUUUGGUGGAUGAAACGUAAUCCGAUCAAGCUGAAACUUGGUGGUAAGCUUCGUGAAAAUGCUGUCUUGAGUAUCAACGGUGGGAUUGAGAUUUUGACGGUUGGUUUGUGUUUUAUUCGAGCUUCUUCCGGGCACAGUUCAUCUGAAAGUUUCAGAUUUGACCAGUUCUUAUGGAAAUGUCAACCGGAUGACCAAAUAAACUCGGAAUGAGAUGAAAUUUUGCAGAGAUACUCUAGACAUGUGAAACUAGAUUCUGGUAGAAGGACACUGGAUUUGGAGUCCGGGAACAUAGUUUACUGAUGACAUUUCAGAACAGUUGAUUCAAAGUCUUAUGGAACAAUGAGUUUCUAAUGACAUGAAAAAGGUGAAGAGCAUAGAUGUUGAAACAUGUUAUGGAAGCAUCCUAGAAACUAUGAAGAAUGCUGAAAAGCGUUUUUAGAAGAGACUUUGAAACACAGAGAUUGCAACUGAGACUAAGAGAGGAGUUGAGACAGAAAAAGUUCUUAGUUCAUGAGAAAGAUGAAAUUAUGUAAGAGAAGAGGUUCUUCUGAAUGAUUAUCAUCAGUAAGGUUUAUGAAGAAUGCUGAAAAUCGUUUUUAGAUGAGACUUUGACACAGAAAGAUUGCAACUAAGGCUAAGAGAGAAGUUGAGACAAAAAAUAAAAAGUUCUUAGUUCAUGAGAAAGAUGAGAUUAUGUGGGAGAAGAGGUUAUUCUCAAUGAUUGUUAUUAGUAAGGUUUAUGAUGAUAUUCUGUCAUCAAACUUUCUGUUAAAUCAAGGUAUAAAGUCAUGGAAAGUCUCAGAUCAAAGAAAGAUAAUGCAUGUUGGUUGAGAAGUUUUCUUGUGAAGAAAAGUUCAGUCAAAGGUUCUUUUGGAGAAAAUUUGCAAGGAGAUUUCAAGUGUGGCUCAUGCUGGUGAUAAACUGUGAGAAAUUGUUUCAUCUUAAAGAGAAACCAAAAGUGAAAAGCAAUUGGAGAGGAGAAUUCUACGUGAUGAUUCACUCUAUAUGAGAAGCUGAUUGGGAUCAAUCUGCGAUGUAUCCGCUGCAACUACAAGGUCGAUAGGAGUUGACACCGCUGAAGGAAUUUAAAUCCGAAACUCAGCUGAAUGAGAGAAGAAUCUUCUAUUGGAGUUAGAGUAACCCUUUGGAAAGGAAAGAGAUGUUCUGUUUGUGGUAUUUGGUGACAGCGUGCUGGUGUAAAUUCUUGAUUAGGAGAAAGUCACUAAAUCUGAUACUAUAUAAGAUGCCAUCUGACAAGAAUUGUGUAUGAAAACAAGAAUUGGCUCAAAUACCAAUCCAGAGACAUGAAUGUCAGAGCAUUGGCUCAGCAGUUCUGAGAGUACAAGGCAUUUGAGUAAAUGGAGUCUGAAACUGAUCUCUACGUCGGCGUCUUCAGAAUUUGGUUUAUCAUGAAGAGUUAUUAAUGUGAGAAUCUGAUUGUGUUUGUUGAAGAAACGUAAAACACAAGUUAGUGGUGAAGAAUCAGUCUUCUCAUAGCUCGUUCAUAAAGAUGAGGAUUCACGUAUUGAAGUAUUCAUGGAUCUGUUGCUAUCACAAGAAGAAAAAGACCUUCAAUAUUGGAGAAGCUUUGCAGAAAAAAAAAAAUCGUUAGAAAGCUCCAUGUUUUUGCUUCGAAGGGAAGGACUGUAGAAGAAAUAUUAGAAAAGUUGAUGCAGAAGACGCUCCGUGAAUGACAGAUGGCAAUAAAAGGAACUUCAGAGAAUGAUCAGAAGCUGUGUCAACAUAUCUGUUGGAAUCAAACACAUUUAGAGGCAAAGGCAGAGGUUGACAUCAUUUUCUUUGAGUUUUUAACUUAGUUAUGCACUCAAGCAGGGGGAGAUAUCGCACACAAAGAGAGUUCUUCAAUCUUAUCUGGUCUGAGGACAUGAAUUGAAGAAUGGGGUUUUACUUGAAACUGACUAAUGAGAAUGGAUGGAUGCUGCUUGCGUGUGUCUUUGACUGAAUGAAGUUUGAUUUAAAGAGCAGAGUGCUUGAGUAUCAAACUAAGUUAAAAAGGGGGGAAAUGAAGAUGUUAGAUCUUUUGAGUCUAAUAGAUGAUGAAACAUGAAGCAUUGAAACAGCUAUGAUAAAUCAGUUUGUGAAACUAAUACAAAGGCCUCAAUUGCGAGGAUAUGUAGUAGACAAAGCGCUCAGAAUUUUGGCAUGUUGGGUGUUCAAAGCCGGAGGUUAUAGACAUUUUUGAAUACAUGGUCAAGACGGGUUUGGCUUGAUAUUGAUGGAAGAACGAGCCCAAAGGGGUUACAAAGCUGUCUUCUGGUUUGUCAUAUUUUUUGAUAAUCACAGGCUGAUGAUCAUUAAUGAAGAUACAAUGUUAUAUGUCAAGAAGCUGUGUGUCAGAUCAAAGAAAGAUGAAAAGGCUUAGUAUGAGGCAGUUCCAUGACAUUGAAGGACUCAAGAGGAAGAUAAAAUAUAUAUAUAUAUAUAUAUAUAUAUAUAUAUAUAUAUAGAGAGAGAGAGAGAGAGAGAGAGUGAGUGCAUAUGGAUGAUUCUUGAAGCUUUAGCAUUCCUGCUCCAGAACAAACACUGUUUGUCAUUUCAUCUUGAGGACAAGAUGAGACUCUCAGAGGCGGGCAGUAGUCAGAAUAGCAAGUAUGGAGAUAACUAGCUAUAUAGUGUUGAUGAAGAUGAUAAAAAGGAUAAGAAUACCCUCUCAAGAGAUAUUAGGGUCAUGAAAUGGGAUGUGAAAGAGUUGUGUGCUGAGUAUAAAAAAGAGUGUAAAAUCGGGCAUUAUAAGAGUUAUGAAUAUAAGAACGGGUGUCAAGGUGGAGGCCUAGCAAGGGAUGUGGAUAUUCAAAGAGGUUGUUUCACUGCUGUUAGACACAAAUAUGUCCCCGUGGGAGAGGGAGUUAUGGUUUCAUAUUUCAAUUGGGAUGACAAGAAGAGAGGCACACAAACACUGAGCUAUUCGCAGGAUAGCUCAAGAGGACUCCAAAAUUCAGUGGUCUUGACAUCUGGGACUGUCAAUGCGUUGGUAAGAUCAUCUUUCCAUCAAAUUUGGAUUACAUAUAUUUUAUCCAAGUGGGUCUUGAAAUGAUCAUGAGGUGUUACAACAUCAGCAAGUUCAUCAAUAGUCCUAGAGAAUUGGUAAAGAGGUGUUCUAUGUCUGUUACCCGGAAGGAAGAUGCUCAUAAGAAAAGAGGGAAUGAGUUUUCAGGGGCGAGUAGUAGUAGGUGUGGAUGGUUGGUCUUUGAUAGAGGAAAUAAGAAUAGAAUAUCAGGAGAUGUUAUGAAUAUAGUAUUCUCGGUCUUGGAUUUAAAGAAGUGUUUCUUGCAAGGUGGAUGUAGUGAGAAUAAGAAAAGAGGGAAUGCGUUUCGAGGUAUAAAAGAAGCUGAAGAAGAACACUUGCUGCUGUCUCCGGUGAAUUCUUGUGUGAGCACUUACACUGUGACCCAUGAAAGUGGCGUUGCAAGAUGGGUUGCUCAAGAAUAGCAUUACCUUCUCAUGGCCGAAACUUCCCAAGUUGUCCUCUUGUUACACUCUGGAUCUGAUUCAGUACAAGACUAAAUUGAAGUUUGGGUUCAAAGUGUUGUUGUCGACUUUUGAGAGAGUGUCGAAGAAGCUAAAGGAUUGUAAAACACAUGAAGCCUCCCGAGCCAAGGUGAAGCUAAGUCAGAGAGCUUUUCCAAGGAUUGUAGCUACUGAUUCAACAUUCAACUUCUUUCCACCUUGAGGACAAGGUGUUUCUUUAUUUGUGUUAUGUCCCCAACAAAACCGUUAUGAGUAUAGAUAGUAUUUUAUAUGUACCAUGACUAGCUGGAUGGAGUUUUGGUGGUACUUUUUCUGUGAUUGAAUCAACCCUAUAUUAUAUAGCCCCGAAUUAUUCUU